UACAGAGACUGGCGAGCGUUAUUCGGAUUCACUGGGCGUAAAGGGUGCGCAGGUGGCCAAGUGUGGUUAGGCGAUCGAAAGCCCGGGGCUUAACCCCGGAAUUGCACCUAAAACUACCUGGCUAGAGCAUUGGAGAGGGGAGCAGAAUUCAUGGUGUAGCAGUGAAAUGCGUAGAUAUCAUGAGGAAUACCAGAGGCGAAGGCGGCUCCCUGGACAAUUGCUGACACUCAGGCACGAAAGCGUGGGGAGCAAAAGGG
rnacentral:rRNA from 1 species